UACGGAGGAUCCGAGCGUUAUCCGGAUUUAUUGGGUUUAAAGGGAGCGUAGGUGGAUUGUUAAGUCAGUUGUGAAAGUUUGCGGCUCAACCGUAAAAUUGCAGUUGAAACUGGCAGUCUUGAGUACAGUAGGGGUGGGCGGAAUUCGUGGUGUAGCGGUGAAAUGCUUAGAUAUCACGAAGAACUCCGAUUGCGAAGGCAGCUCACUAGACUGCAACUGACGCUGAUGCUCGAAAGUGUGGGUAUCAAACAGG
rnacentral:rRNA from 1 species